rnacentral:rRNA from 1 species
UGCCAGCCGCCGCGGUAACACGUAGGGGGCGAGCGUUGUCCGGAUUUAUUGGGCGUAAAGAGCUCGUAGGCGGUUCGGUAAGUCGGGUGUGAAAGUCCAGGGCUCAACCCUGGGAGGCCACCCGAUACUGCCGUGACUAGAGUCCGGUAGAGGAGUGUGGAAUUUCUGGUGUAGCGGUGAAAUGCGCAGAUAUCAGAAGGAACACCGACAGCGAAGGCAGCACUCUGGGCCGGUACUUACGCUGAGGAGCGAAAGCAUGGGGAGCGAACAGGAUUAGAUA